rnacentral:rRNA from 1 species
UACGUAGGGCGCGAGCGUUGUCCGGAAUUAUUGGGCGUAAAGAGCUCGUAGGCGGCCUGUUGCGUCCGCUGUGAAAUCCCGGGGCUCAACCCUGGGCGUGCCAGUGGAUACGGGCAGGCUGGAGGCAGGCAGGGGAGAACGGAACUCCUGGUGUAGCGGUGAAAUGCGCAGAUAUCAGGAAGAACACCGGUGGCGAAGGCGGUGGGCUGGGCCGGCACUGACGCUGAGGAGCGAAAGCGUGGGGAGCGAACAGG